CCUACGGGUGGCUGCAGUAGGGAAUCUUUCACAAUGGGCGAAACCCUGAUGCAGCAACGCCGCGUGCAGGAUGAAGGCUUUCGGAUUGUAAACUGCUUUUAUAAGCGAGGAUUAUGACGGUAUCUAACGAAUAAGCACCGGCUAACUACGUGCCAGCAGCCGCGGUAAUACGGAGGGUGCAAGCGUUACCCGGAAUCACUGGGUGUAAAGAGCGCGUAGGCGGGUUAGAAAGACAGAUGUUAAAUCCUGGGGCUUAACCAUAGCACUGCAUUUGAAACUGUUAUUCUAGAGUACGGUAGAGGUAGGUGGAAUUGCUGGUGUAGGGGUGAAAUCCGUAGAGAUUAAGAGGAAUACCGAUAGCGAAGGCGACUUGCUAGAACAGAACUGACGCUGAGGCGCGAAAGCGUAGGGAGCAAACAGGAUUAGAUACCCGAGUAGUC
rnacentral:rRNA from 1 species